UAUUUAGCUUACCCUAGGUCGGUGGUGGCGGACGGGCGGUACUUUCCGUCAACAUGCGCUGCCGGCUCGGAAGCGUUCCAUACUUUUGGAAGGCUUUUUAGGG
rnacentral:sRNA from 1 species